rnacentral:snRNA from 1 species
AUCACUUCUCAGCCUUUUGGCUAAGAUCAAGUGUAGAUAUUUAUGACAAGUAUAUAUAUAUAUAUAUUUUUUUUUUAAUGUAUAUGUCAGCAUAUACAUGGUAUAUGAUUUUAAAUUAAACUUGUGAAAUCAUGAGCUCAU